GUGGACAGAGAGCAGCUUGAAGGCAUCCUGAUCAAUUUAGAUGUGUGUUUCAGGCUCGAAGAUACUUCUCAGUAUCUUCGAGCUUGAAACACAAAUCUAAAUUGAUUAGCAUGAUUCUUCUCAGUAUUUCAUUCUUUCUUUCAU